AUGAAAUCUACACUUUCUCACCUACAUAGCUAACUCAUUUAAAUUCAAUAUAAUUUUUUUCUUUCCCAACCACUGUAUCUGCAUAUAUAAUCUCCAUCCAUAUACGCUCAUUAGCCAUCUCUCCACAUCUUCUCGUUCCCAUUCACUCAAACUCGAUUACGUAGCACCAUCAUUUAUAUAAUCCAUCGCACCAAUCGAAAACCAAUGAUUUUUAAUAUUUACUACGGUUGUUAAGCUGAAUUUUUUAUUUUUAUGUUCAAGUGCAUCUUUACAUCCUUGUUUAUCCUAAUCGACAAUCACAGAAAACUACAUGCAUUUUGAUAUUUGUAUAUUUUGUCUCUUCAAUUUCCCUUUUUCAUCGAUCUAUCAUUAUAGGGGUUGAUGACAAUAAUACAUACGACGUGUUUCUAAGCUUUAAUAUGGAAUCUACAAUACCGGAAAUUACAGAUGCUGGCCAAAUAGUGUGCGCCGAAUGUGUGUUUAGGGUAUAGGGCCAUUUGUCCGGAAGUAGAGACUGCAAAUGGGUGACUAUAUGUUGAUAUACAUGGAUAUGGUAACUUGGAACUAUGUUUGCAUGGAUACAGUACAAAACAUGUUUAGUAUAAAAACAACGAGAACAAAUCUUGGCCAUCUAUUUUUUAAAUCAAAUGAUGGUAUUGAUUACGGGUAUGUUUGGCAAAAGUAGUUGGUGGCUGGUGGCUGGUGGCUGAAAGCUGGUAGCUGGUAGCUGGUGACUGGUGACUGUAGCUUUUUAUAGAUAUAUGGCGUUUGGCAAAGUAGCUGGAGCUUUUAAUAAAAUGUAUAAAAUGAUUAAAAUGGAACUUGCGUUGUGACGCAUGAUUUUUGAAUUUAUGUCAUUGUAACUUCGGUGAAUUUUAUAAAAAGGAAUACUACCCACA